AGGAAGUAAAGGCAUAUAGCAACAGUCAAGUUCAAGUGGGCAAGGCAAUCUGCUCAGGUUCUGCUAAGCCCCUGUCAUCAACUGGCCGAUGGACCAGGUUGCUUCUGAGUAGCCCUCAGGAAUGACCAAGUAGUUGUGGUGAGUCGGGGAGGUAUCGAG